rnacentral:rRNA from 1 species
UUUAUGGAGAGUUUGAUCCUGGCUCAGGAUGAACGCUGGCGGCGUGCCUAAUACAUGCAAGUCGAGCGAACGGCCG